CCUACGGGAGGCAGCAGUGGGGAAUAUUGCACAAUGGGGGAAACCCUGAUGCAGCCAUGCCGCGUGUGUGAAGAAGGCCUUCGGGUUGUAAAGCACUUUCAGUGAGGAGGAAAGGUUGGUAGCGAAUAACUGCCAGCUGUGACGUUACUCGCAGAAGAAGCACCGGCUAACUCCGUGCCAGCAGCCGCGGUAAU
rnacentral:rRNA from 1 species